AGGAUGGAAAGAGGGGAGAGAUCAAAGACCAAAGAAACAGAUUGUCCUGAAGACAGGGAGUCUGGGAGCAGAGAAAAAGAAAGCAAACGAGGGGCACAGAAAAACUCAGACAUAGGGAAAGACACGGAUCCUCUCCUCCCUCCCUUCUCUCCAUUCCCUCUCCUGCAUUGGGGCUCAUCAAUAUCUUGGCUGUCACUCUCACCCCAGGUUGCUGGAGUAGAACAAGGGUGAAAACCCGGACUGGAAGGCAGCUGUGUCUCUACAGUUCACAGCCAAGAGGGCAUUGCCCUGAGGAGUCAAGCAGUCCAAUCACAAGCCCGGCCCAGGUCUCACCAACAGUUCCUUGCAGCCUCUUCCUGAAGAUCUUUGAGGGGAAAUACAAAGAAGAAAUAUUUCAGACCACAGCGUGAUAAAGAAGUCCUGAUCGCCCAGUGCAUCUUUAUGUUGUGUCAUAAAGAAUUGAAAACCACACGUAAAAGCAUGGUGUGGCUUCCUGAAAGGCCAGUUUUUAUGAUACGCCCCCAGCGCCACCAUAGUUGGCAUCCAGUCCUAAUUUACUGAGAUAUCCAGAGAGAAUUAUGGUGGAGCAUCCUGGCAGCAGUGACAUCUUAGGGAUAUGUAAAAGAAGAUGGCAGCUGGCAAAUAGCAACGGAAAAUCUGUUCAUAUCGAUUCGCCUGGCGAAAUCUAUGGUUGAGGAAAAAGAACACAGUGAUAUUUAACCCCUUCCACAAAUGAUGCAAGCGAUAUGACUUGAGAUGAACAGUUGCUCUGGAAAUCAAACAGCAUGAAAGACUGUGCCAAAAUAGAGAAAGGAAGACUUGCUCCCUC
rnacentral:lncRNA from 1 species